rnacentral:rRNA from 1 species
GGGCCCGCACAAGCGGUGGAGCAUGUGGUUUAAUUCGAUGCAACGCGAAGAACCUUACCAGCCCUUGACAUCAUCAGAACUUGUUAGAGAUAACUCGGUGCCUUCGGGAACUGGUUGACAGGUGCUGCAUGGCUGUCGUCAGCUCGUGUCGUGAGAUGUUGGGUUAAGUCCCGCAACGAGCGCAACCCUUAUCCUUAGUUGCCAGCACAUAAUGGUGGGGACUCUAAGGAGACUGCCGGUGACAAGCCGGAGGAAGGCGGGGACGACGUCAAGUCAUCAUGGCCCUUACGGGUAGGGCUACACACGUGCUACAAUGGUCGGUACAGAGGGUUGCCAAGUCGCGAGGCGGAGCUAAUCUCAGAAAGCCGGUCAUAGUCCGGAUUGCAGUCUGCAACUCGACUGCAUGAAAGUCGGAAUCGCUAGUAA